rnacentral:tRNA from 1 species
GCCAGGAUGGCGAAAUUGGUAGACGCAGAAGACUCAAAAUCUUCCGGUGGUGACAUCUUGCGGGUUCGAGCCCCGUUCCUGGUACCA